rnacentral:lncRNA from 1 species
GCCUGAAGCAGGAGAAUCGCUUGAACCUGGGAGGUGGAGGUUGCAGUGAGCCGUGAUUGUGCCAUUGCACUCCAGCCUGGGAGACAGAGCAAGACUCUGUCUCAAGAAAAAAAAAAAAAGAUGUCUGAAGCUCAGAUUCCUCAAGAGGAAUAAGAGGGUGGGACAGUGGUGUCACUCAGAGCUGUUAUGAGGAUUAAAUGACAUAAUGUAUCUAGCAUAACGAUAGUCAUAGUCAUCACAGAUAAACGUCAGGUCCCUCACUUUUUCCUCUAAAAUGAAAAGUGUGUAUCAAGGACACUCCUAAGCACUAUAAAAUGUAGUACAGAAAAUACACAAGUCCUUCAAUUUGGUAGAGAGAUUUAUCAUGGGGGGAGUGUGUGCAUCUGCAACUGAAAAACACAGAAGGCUGGACACGGUGGUUCACACCUGUAAUCCCAGCACUUUGGGAGGUUGAGGCGGGCAGAUCACCUGAGGUCACGAGUUCAAGACCAGCCUGACCAACACGGAGAAACCCCAUCUCUACUAAAAAUACAAAAUUAGCCGGGCGUGGUGGCGCAUACCUGUAUCCCAGCUACUUGGGAGGCUGAGGCAGGAGAAUCGCUUGAACCCAGGAGGCAGAGGUGAGCCAAGAUCACACCACUGCACUCCAACCUGGGCAAUGAGCAAAACUCUGUCUCAAAAAACAAACAAACAAAAAAACAAAACACACACACACACAGAAAAGUAUGGCACUAUAACAAACAUGGUUUUAGUUAUGGUGUAUUUUCUACAACAUGGUUUAGUGGAAAAGAUUAAACUAGGCCUCAGGAAACUAGGUUCUCCUUGCAGCUCUACUAUUUAUUGGCAACACAAACUUGGACAAAUCACUUAUGCUCUCUGUGCCUGUUUCAUCAUCCACAAAAUAGGAUAAAUUCACUCUGCCCACCUCUCUGUCCACCUUGUGCCCAAAAUAAAAAAAAUACAGAUGGAGGCACUCUGAAAACCACAAAGCAACACAAAUGUUAAUAUAAUUAAAUGUGUUUAUUACGGAGAAGGGGCUUGACUUUGUGACUACAACUUUGUGCAAAAAGGUCUAGACGUUAGGCCUGUUUAUAGAAGGUAGUUAAAGAAAAUGUAGCUUUGGGCUAGCAAUGUUCUGCUUUUAGUACACAUCCAUUUUGAGACCAGGCAAAUAGAGGUUUAGUGAAUAUGAGAUCAUUUGCAAAAUCUACCAGAGAAGAAAAUGAUUUCCCUUUAGGAAGAGAUAAUACCAGUUUUUCUCUUGCAAACCUAUUCUGAGUUGUUACAGGUCUCCUGUCAAAAUAAGCAUGAAAGCACCAAUGGCCACUACACACGACAGGUAUGCUACUUUACAAUCACCCUGCCCCUAGAAAAGCUUAAGAAACUUUAUGUAUUUUAACUAGAGAGGUGGUCUCAUAACUAAAGAUGAGAUUCAGCAGAGAAAAGCAAAGAUAUUUCAAAUGACUGUCAGGAACUUCCUGGCUCCUUGGGCCUUGGUCUUCCCUCCUGUUAACCGAUUCCAGCCAUCAGCAAAAGGAGCCUCUAGGAAGCUUCUGAAGUUUGAUUCAUAAUCAAGGUGAGUUUCAACGUUCAGUCUUUCGCCCCAAGCCCUUCUCGCCUCAUCUCUCCUGUUUCCAGGCUCAAUCACUGGUUUUAUUCUUGGGUCCUAGUCUCUGUGGCCUACAUUUUUUCUUUUGUUUUUGGCCACAUCCUCCGUUUCUGGUCCUUGAUCUUCACUGUUCAUUUCCUGAGCCUCCACUUCCACUUAUCUGCCUUGCCUGCCCGUCUUACCUGGCUAGUUUUACCUGUGUCCUACCACCUGCAUCCUACUUUGCUACUCUAAAUUCCUAGAUGUUGCAUUUGCCUGAAACCUAGAACCUAUUUCUUGUCCUGUAAACUUAGAACCUAUUUCUUGUACAACCUGGUCCUGACUGGAUUCUGAACACAGUGCUUAUUCUAUCUAGCUGAAUUUCAAGUCUUUAUAUUUUUCUCCAGUCUGUUUACCCAUCCAGUUUCUACUGGACAUGCCUCUUCUCAAGGCAGAAACUCAACUGCUUUCAGUAUCGCCAGCCUGCCCUAGUGUAACCCUCAACUCUUGGGGGAGAGAAAAAGAGAGGGAUAAACCACCACUACUGACCACUGAAGCAAGAAGUAAUGUUUUCAGGACAAUUUUUUUUUUUUGAGACAGGGUCUCAUUCCCGUCGCCCAGGCUGCAGUGAAGUGGCACAUACUCGGCUCACUGCAGCCCUGAUUUUCCGGGAUCAGGUGAUCUCCCACUUUAGCCUCUCAAAUAGCUGGGACUACAGGUGCGCCACCACACCCAGCUAAUUUUUUGUAUCCUUAGUAGAGAUGGGGUUUCACCAUGUUGCCCAGGCUGGUCUUAACUCCUGAAUUCAAGUGAUCCACCUGCCUUGGCCUCAGCCUCCCAAAGUGCUUAGAUUACAGGUGUGAGCCACUACACCCAGCCUCUUUCAGGACAACUUUAUAUGCAGUCUACUGGCAUGCCUAGGUGAAAAUAAACUAAAUGACUGAAAAUGUUAGUAUUUUGACCCUUAUAAAUUCAAAAGGCAGAGAGAGCAUUUUGGAUGGGACAGAUGGCAAUUGAAAAUAAGCUUGUUUACC